GUUUCUAUAAGACAAGGAUGUUUUGGACAUGUUCAAGCCCCCAGAACUGGCUGCACCCCAUGUGCCUUUCUCUCAGUGCAGCAACUUACGUGCUAAGAAUGGCCCCUGCCAGAGCAUAUUGUGCUGGGCGGUCAUGGGUGGCGGAAACUACUGGCCUGUCUUUUGACAACCCACAGGAAACAUUUGCACCUCCAGCACUUUCCGCUCAAAGUGCUCCAUGGUAGCAACACCUGUGUGUGGUGCAGAAGCUGUGGCUACACUGCUUUAUAACUCAUCUUUCUAUCUGACCUCUGGAGUACAGUGAAAGACCAAAACUUUACUGCUGUCUAUGUUCGCAUGUAGUAAUGGUGGGAGAACUAAAUGACACUGAAAAUUCUGGAAAUCAGGAGAAACAGACUAAAGCCACGAGCACCAGAUGAAUGAAGAGAGAGAAGAGUGCUUUAGGUGGCCUGCUGUGCACUGGUGACCACCCUAGUGGCCUUGGCGAACCUGGCCGGCACGGUGCUGACCAUCA